rnacentral:rRNA from 1 species
AAUCAACGCUGGCGGCGUGCCUCAGACAUGCAAGUCGAACGCGAAAGGUUCCUUCGGGAACCGAGUAGAGUGGCGCACGGGUGAGUAACACGUAGGUAAUUUGCCUUUGGGUGGGGAAUAACAGCCGGAAACGGCUGCUAAUACCGCAUAAUGCAGCGGCUCGACAUCGAGACAGUUGUUAAAGCGGGGAUCGCAAGACCUCGCGCCUAAAGAGAAGCCUGCGGCAGAUUAGCUAGUUGGUAGGGUAAUGGCCUACCAAGGCGACGAUCUGUAACCGGCCUGAGAGGGCGGUCGGUCACACUGACACUGACAUACGGGUCAGACUCCUACGGGAGGCAGCAGUCGGGAAUUUUGGGCAAUGGGCGAAAGCCUGACCCAGCAACGCCGCGUGAAGGAUGAAAUCCCUCGGGAUGUAAACUUCGCAAGAAUGGGAAGAAUAAGUGUGGGCUAAUACCCUCAUGA